ACCGAAAUAGCUCAGUUGGGAGAGCGUUAGACUGAAGAUCUAAAGGUCCCUGUUUCAAUCCGGGUUUCGCAG
rnacentral:tRNA from 1 species